GUCUCAGUACCUCAGUAGGAUAGAGGGUUCGCCUCCUAAGCGGCAGAUUGUUCGAUUCCU
rnacentral:tRNA from 1 species